rnacentral:rRNA from 1 species
AUGCGUCAAGUACAAGAGCUUCUCGACAAAGGUUAUAUACGCGAAUCCCUUAGUCCUUGUGCUGUUCCUAUUAUUCUAGUGCCGAAAAAGGAUGGUACAUCACGUAUGUGUGUUGAUUGUAGAGGCAUUAAUAAUAUUACUAUUCGUUAUCGUCAUCCUAUUCCUAGGCUAGAUGAUAUGCUUGAUGAAUUGAGUGGCUCUACAAUAUUUUCCAAAGUUGAUUUACGUAGUGGAUACCAUCAAAUUCGUAUGAAAUUGGGAGAUGAAUGGAAAACAGCAUUCAAAACUAAGUUUGGAUUAUAUGAGUGGUUAGUCAUGCCUUUUGGGUUAACUAAUGCACCUAGUACUUUCAUGAGAUUAAUAAACGAAGUUUUACGUGCUUUCAUUGGACGAUUUGUGGUAGUUUACUUUGAUGACAUAUUGAUUUAUAGCAGAUCUUUGGAAGAACAUUUGGAACAUUUACGUGCUGUUUUUAUUGCUCUACGUGAUGCACGUUUGUUUGGUAACCUUGGAAAGUGCACCUUUUGCACCGACCGAGUAUCUUUUCUUGGCUAUGUUGUUACUCCACAGGGAAUUGAAGUUGAUAAAGCCAAGAUUGAAGCUAUUGAGAGUUGGCCGCAACCCAAAACGGUCACACAAGUGAGGAGUUUUCUUGGCCUCGCUGGAUUCUAUAGGCGUUUUGUGAGAGAUUUCAGCACCAUUGCUGCACCUCUCAAUGAGCUUACAAAGAAAGAUGUGCCUUUUCUUUGGGGUACCGCACAUGAAGAAGCCUUCACGGUAUUGAAAGAUAAGUUGACACAUGCUCCUUUACUCCAACUUCCUGAUUUUAAUAAGACUUUUGAGCUUGAAUGUGAUGCUAGUGGAAUUGGAUUAGGAGGUGUGUUAUUACAAGAUGGCAAACCUGUUGCAUACUUUUCUGAAAAAUUGAGUGGGCCUAGUCUGAAUUAUUCUACUUAUGAUAAAGAAUUAUAUGCUCUUGUUCGGACUUUAGAAACAUGGCAACAUUAUUUAUGGCCCAAAGAAUUUGUUAUACAUUCUGAUCAUGAAUCUUUGAAACAUAUUAAAAGUCAAGCUAAACUGAAUCGUAGACAUGCUAAAUGGGUUGAAUUCAUUGAGACUUUCCCUUAUGUCAUUAAACACAAGAAGGGAAAAGAAAAUGUUAUUGCUGAUGCAUUGUCUCGUCGCUAUACUAUGCUUUCACAACUUGACUUCAAAAUAUUUGGUUUGGAGACCAUCAAAGAUCUAUAUGUGCAUGAUGCUGAUUUUAAAGAUGUAAUGCAGAAUUGCAAAGAAGGAAGAAUGUGGAACAAGUUUGUCGUUAACGAUGGAUUUGUGUUUCGUGCUAACAAGCUAUGCAUUCCAGCUAGCUCCGUUCGUCUUUUGUUGUUGCAGGAGGCGCAUGGAGGAGGAUUAAUGGGACACUUUGGCGUGAAGAAGACAGAGGACGUACUUGCUACACAUUUCUUUUGGCCAAAGAUGAGACGGGAUGUUGAGCGUUUUAUUGCUCGCUGCACUACAUGUCAAAAAGCUAAGUCACGACUCAAUCCUCAUGGUUUAUAUAUGCCUUUGCCUGUACCUAGUGUUCCUUGGGAGGAUAUAUCUAUGGACUUUGUUUUAGGUUUACCUCGAACAAAGAUGGGGAGGGAUAGCAUAUUUGUUGUUGUGGAUAGAUUCUCGAAAAUGGCACACUUUAUACCAUGUCAUAAAAGCGAUGAUGCUGUUCAUGUUGCUGAUUUGUUCUUUCGUGAAAUUAUUCGCUUGCAUGGUGUGCCAAAUACUAUUGUUUCAGAUCGUGACACUAAAUUUCUUAGCCACUUUUGGAGAUGUUUAUGGGCUAAGUUGGGGACUAAACUGCUUUUUAGUACUACUUGUCACCCCCAAACUGAUGGCCAAACUGAAGUAGUCAAUAGAACAUUGUCUACUAUGCUUAGGGCUGUUUUGAAGAGUAAUAAGAAAAUGUGGGAGGAAUGCUUGCCUCAUAUUGAAUUUGCUUAUAAUCAUUCAUUGCAUUCUACUACUAAGAUGUGCCCUUUUGAAGUUGUGUAUGGUUUCCUACCUCGUGCACCUAUUGAUUUGUUGCCUCUUCCAUCUUCGGAGAAGGUUAAUUUUGAUGCUAAACAACGUGCUGAAUUGAUUUUAAAAAUGCAUGAGUUAACUAAGGAAAACAUUGAGCGUAUGAAUGCUAAAUAUAAACUUGCUGGAGAUAAGGGUAGAAAACAUGUUGUGUUUGCUCCUGGAGAUCUUGUUUGGUUACAUUUGCGUAAGGAUAGAUUUCCUGAUUUGCGCAAAUCAAAGUUAAUGCCACGUGCUGAUGGUCCCUUUAAGGUGUUAGAGAAAAUAAAUGAUAAUGCAUAUAAACUUGAGCUGCCUGCAGAUUUUGGGGUUAGUCCCACUUUUAACAUUGCAGAUUUGAAGCCUUAUUUGGGUGAGGAAGAUGAACUUCCGUUGAGGACGACUUCAUUUCAAGAAGGGGAGGAUGAUGAGGACAUCAAUACAAUUGUUACACCCACAGCCCCUGCUGCUAUACAUACUGGACCAAUUACUAGAGCUCGUGCACGCCAACUAAAUUACCAGGAAACAGACCCUCGUGGUCAGGUUGAUCGUGCUCCGGCGUGGUCAAUAACCUCUCGGAGUUGGUUUAGCGAUUGCUAA